rnacentral:rRNA from 1 species
GAUGAACGCUGGCGGCGUGCCUAAUACAUGCAAGUCGAACGGGGAGUAGCAAUACUCUUAGUGGCGAACGGGUGAGUAACGCGUUGGUACCUGCCCCGAAGCGGGGGAUAACGGACCGAAAGGUCCGCUAAUACCCCAUGUGCUCGGUAACGAGUAAAGGUGAAAACCACUUUGGGAGGGGCAUGCGUCCCAUCAGCUAGUUGGUAAGGUAACGGCUUACCAAGGCGAUGACGGGUAGGGGACCUGAGAGGAUGGCCCCCCACAAUGGAACUGAAACACGGUCCAUACACCUACGGGUGGCAGCAGUAGGGAAUAUUGGUAAUGGGCGCAAGCCUGAACCAGCAACGCCGCGUGUGCGAUGACGGCCUUCGGGUUGUAAAGCACUUUUGACUGGGACGAGGAAGGACGGUACCGGUCGAAUCAGCCUCGGCUAACUACGUG